GAUGAACGCUGGCGGCGUGCCUAAUACAUGCAAGUCGAGCGAACAGACGAGGAGCUUGCUCCUCUGACGUUAGCGGCGGACGGGUGAGUAACACGUGGAUAACCUACCUAUAAGACUGGGAUAACUUCGGGAAACCGGAGCUAAUACCGGAUAAUAUAUUGAACCGCAUGGUUCAAUAGUGAAAGACGGUUUUGCUGUCACUUAUAGAUGGAUCCGCGCCGCAUUAGCUAGUUGGUAAGGUAACGGCUUACCAAGGCAACGAUGCGUAGCCGACCUGAGAGGGGGUUGGCCCCCCGUGGAACUGACACGCCGCCCAGGUCCUUAGGGGAGGCAGCGAUUGGGAAGUUCCGCAAAAGGGGGAAAGCUUGACGGAGGAACGCCGGGGUGGUGAAGAAGUUCUGCGGAUGGUAAAACCCUUUUUUUGGGGAAAAAAAAAUUGGAAAGUAACGAAGCCCGUUUGAAGGGUACCAAUACAGAAAGCCCGGGUAAACUACGG
rnacentral:rRNA from 1 species